AUAACAAUACAGGACUCUUUCGAGGCCCUGUAAUUGGAAUGAGUACACUUUAAAUCCAUUAACGAGGAUCUAUUGGAGGGCAAGUCUGGUGCAGAGCGACUGACCCAUGCGUGCUGCAGCUGAAA